GACACUGCAUACCCACCUGGAAGGCUGAAAUGAAUAAGACAAAGCUCGGUGUCUAUAACUUUGUGGAGUAACUGGAACUCUCAACACAGAAAUCCAUUCCUAGGUGUAUGCCUAACACACAUUUAGAAGGAUGUUUAUUCCAGUAUUAUCCAAACUCCCACAGAAAACAGGCCAAAUGCUGAUCAGCAGUGGAACAGGAUGAAAAAAUAUCAUAAAAAGAAAACCUAGUUAAUAAAGGCUUUGUGGAAGAGAGAAAGUUUGAGAAGCAACAUGCCAGG